rnacentral:rRNA from 1 species
GACGAACGCUGGCGGCGUGCUUAACACAUGCAAGUCGAACGAUGAAGCCGGAGCUUGCUCCGGUGGAUUAGUGGCGAACGGGUGAGUAACACGUGAGCAAUCUGCCCUUGACUCUGGGAUAACUGCGGGAAACUGUAGCUAAUACCGGAUACGACACCUUGGGGCAUCCCAGGGUGUGGAAAGAAUUUCGGUCAAGGAUGAGCUCGCGGCCUAUCAGCUAGUUGGUGAGGUAAUGGCCCACCAAGGCGACGACGGGUAGCCGGCCUGAGAGGGGUACCGGCCACACUGGAACUGAGACACGGUCCAGACGACUACGGGAGGCAGCAGUGGGGAAUAUUGCACAAUGGGCGAAAGCGUGAUGCAGCAACGCCGCGUGAGGGAUGAAGGCCUUCGGGUUGUAAACCUCUUUUAGCAGGGAAGAAGCGAAAGUGACGGUACCUGCAGAAAAAGCACCGGCUAACUACGUGCCAGCAGCCGCCGUAA